rnacentral:rRNA from 1 species
UGGGGAAUAUUGCACAAUGGGCGCAAGCCUGAUGCAGCCAUGCCGCGUGUAUGAAGAAGGCCUUCGGGUUGUAAAGUACUUUCAGCGGGGAGGAAGGGAGUAAAGUUAAUACCUUUGCUCAUUGACGUUACCCGCAGAAGAAGCACCGGCUAACUCCGUGCCAGCAGCCGCGGUAAUACGGAGGGUGCAAGCGUUAAUCGGAAUUACUGGGCGUAAAGCGCACGCAGGCGGUUUGUUAAGUCUGAUGUGAAAUCCCCGGGCUCAACCUGGGAACUGCAUCUGAUACUGGCAAGCUUGAGUCUCGUAGAGGGGGGUAGAAUUCCAGGUGUAGCGGUGAAAUGCGUAGAGAUCUGGAGGAAUACCGGUGGCGAAGGCGGCCCCCUGGACGAAGACUGACGCUCAGGUGCGAAAGCGUGGGGAGCAAACAGG